rnacentral:rRNA from 1 species
AGCGAACGCUGGCGGCAGGCCUAACACAUGCAAGUCGAACGAAGUCUUCGGACUUAGUGGCGGACGGGUGAGUAACACGUGGGAACGUGCCUUUAGGUUCGGAAUAACUCAGGGAAACUUGUGCUAAUACCGAAUGUGCCCUUCGGGGGAAAGAUUUAUCGCCGUUAGAGCGGCCCGCGUCUGAUUAGCUAGUUGGGGAGGUAAAGGCUCACCAAGGCGACGAUCAGUAGCUGGUCUGAGAGGAUGAUCAGCCACAUUGGGACUGAGACACGGCCCAAACUCCUACGGGAGGCAGCAGUGGGGAAUCUUGCGCAAUGGGCGAAAGCCUGACGCAGCCAUGCCGCGUGAAUGAUGAAGGUCUUAGGAUCGUAAAAUUCUUUCACCGGGGACGAUAAUGACGGUACCCGGAGAAGAAGCCCCGGCUAACUUCGUGCCAGCCGCCGCCGUAA